CACCUAACCCUGUCGGCUCCGGUCGGCAGGUAUGGUGAAAAAGACGAGUGAAGCGUAAAGACCCCAUCGUGGUGUUGCUUCACUCGCCGUACCGGGAAACCGGUAUGUCCGGCGCAAGUCGGA
rnacentral:sRNA from 12 species